AACUUUCAGCAAUGGAUCUCUUGGUUCCGGCAUCGAUGAAGAACGCAGCGAAAUGCGAUAACUAAUGUGAAUUGCAGAAUUCAGUGAAUCAUCGAGUCUUUGAACGCACAUUGCGCCCCCUGGUAUUCCGGGGGGCAUGCCUGUCCGAGCGUCAUUGCUGCCCUCAAGCACGGCUUGUGUGUUGGGCUCCGUCCCCCCGGGGACGGGCCCGAAAGGCAGCGGCGGCACCGAGUCCGGUCCUCGAGCGUAUGGGGCUUUGUCACCCGCUCUGUAGGCCCGGCCGGCGCCAGCCGACAACCCAUCAUCCUUUUCAGGUUGACCUCGGAUCAGGUAGGGAUACCCGCUGAACUUAAGCAUAUCAAUAAGCGGAGGCU
rnacentral:misc_RNA from 1 species